rnacentral:rRNA from 1 species
AGAGUUUGAUCAUGGCUCAGGAUGAUACGACUGGCGGUCUGCUUAAACAACAUGCAAGUCGAAACGGACCUCUUCGGAGUUAGUGGCGGACGGGUGAGUAAACGACGUGAGAAUCUACCUUCAGGACGGAGACAACAGUUGGAAACGACUGCUAACCCCCGAUGUACCGCAAGGGACAAAUAUUUAUAGACCUGAAGAAGAGACUCGCGUCCGAUUAGCUAGUUGGGGGGGUAAAAGACCCACCAAGGCGACGAUCGGUAGACUGGUCUGAGAGGACGAUCAGCCACAACUGGGACUGAGACACGGCCCAGACCUCCUACGGGAGGCAGCAGUGGGGAAUUUUCCCGCAAUGGGCGCAAGCCUGACGGAGACAAGACCCGCGUGGGGGAGGAAGGCUCUUGGGUUGUAAACCCCCUUUUCUCCUGGGAAGAACAAAAUGACGGUACCAGAGGAAUCAGGCAUCGGCUAACCUCCGUGCCAGCAGCCCGCGGUAAGACGGAGGAUGCAAGCGUUAUCCGGAAUGA